AUGUCUCUAAUCCACCUGUUUGCCUUCGCUGUUCUGCUCAGCCUCGAAGCUGCGGCGUCGUUUUCCCCGGGAUCGAGGUCGAUUCUUCGGGAUAUCGGCGGAGGAAACGCAGAUCAGAAGGAUUACGCCGUCGAAUUAAAUUUUACCAACUUCGAUUCGGUUCUCCAUGACACCCCUGCGAGAUACGCCGUUGUCGAGUUCUUCGCCCACUGGUGUCCUGCGUGUAGAAACUAUAGGCCUCAAUAUGAAAAAGUCGCAAAAUUAUUCAAUGGAGCAGAGGCAAUACACCCUGGAAUCAUUUUGAUGGCAAGAGUUGAUUGUGCGCUGAAGAUAAACAACAAACUCUGUGACAAGUUCUCUGUGAGUCAUUAUCCAAUGCUGUUUUGGGGACCUCCUGCAAAAUUCGUCUCUGGCAGUCGGGAUUCUAAACAAGAAAAAAGCGAGAUUAGUGUGAUUGAUGACGGGCGCACAGCUGAGCGCCUGCUGAAUUGGAUUAAUAAACAGAUAGGCAGUUCUUAUGGAUUAGAUGACCAGAAAUUCGAAAACGAGCAUCUUCGGUCAAAUAUAUCUGACAGUGAGCAGAUUUCUCAAGCUGUAUAUGACAUCGAGGAAGCGACAGCUGAAGCUUUUGAUAUCAUUUUAGCGCAUAAGACAAUCAAGACAUCUGAAACCGAUGCUUCAUUUAUUAAAUUUCUCCAGCUUCUUGCGGCACAUCAUCCUUCAAGGAGGUGUCGCAAGGGAAGUGCAGAAAUACUCGUGAACUUUGAUGAUUUAUGCCCAUCUGGGGCAUGCUCUUAUGAAAAUAAUCAGGAAACUGGUGCAAAAGAUAGCCUGGGAAACUUCCGUAUAUGUGGGAAGGAUGUUCCACGUGGAUAUUAUAUGUUUUGCCGUGGCAGCAAGAAUGAUACUCGCGGAUUCAGCUGCGGAUUAUGGGUGCUGAUGCAUUCCCUUUCGGUGAGGAUUGAAGAUGGAGAGAGUCAAUUUGCAUUCACAGCUAUAUGUGAUUUCAUUCAUAACUUUUUCAUGUGUGAAGACUGCCGUCGACAUUUUUACGACAUGUGCACGAGCGUCAAAACACCAUUUAAAAAGUCCCGUGAUUUCGUCUUGUGGCUGUGGAGCACCCACAACAAGGUCAACGAGAGACUCAUGAAGGAAGAAGCGUCACUCGAAACAGCUGACCCCAAAUUCCCGAAGCUCGUAUGGCCAACAAAGCAGCUUUGCCCAACGUGUUAUCUCUCAACCGGCCAGAAAAACAUAGACUGGGAUCAUGACGAAGUCUACAAGUUCAUGAAGAGCUACUACGGGCAGUCUCUCAUGUCGCUUUACAAGGAAAAGGGUCUCAUCCGGAGCGAGGUCGAGGUCGAGGCAACAACCACUGCCUCAGAGGAUAUGGCUAUACCCACCAAUGCAGUCGUCGUGCCCAUCGGAGCAGCAUUGGCCAUCGCUCUUGCCAGCUGCGCGUUCGGGGCGCUCGCUUGUUACUGGAGAACGCAGCAGAAGAACCGGAAGUAUUACCACAAUCUGCACUAUCUAAAGAGAUAUAAUAGUAGUAACAAUAAUCAUAAUAACUAUAUGGCUAUGAGCUCUUUCACUUUCGGUAACAAUGAAAGCGGAAGGGAAAAGGAAAGGUAAAAAAAGGAAAAAGCUCACAUGUUUUUAACCUCUCGCCAUCUUUCAGGCCAAGGAGAAGCUGGAACUAGGGCUUUGUUUUUUUGUAUCCUUACAGACAGCAAUACAAAGAGGUUUGAGGGUGAGAUGCCAAGUCGCCAGCUCGCUCUGAGAUCUGAAAACAGUUCCACUCCUGCUCCACGGCCUCUGGCUCUCUCUUGUCUUGUCUCCCUCUUUUCAGACAACUAACUCGUGAAUCGGAUUUUUCCAUCCAUACAUACACACAUGCAUAUAUACAUGCAUACCCACCAUUCAAUAUUUUAAACGGGAUCUGAGUAUUGUUCUGUGUAUAAUAGAGAGAGUAUUAUUAUUAUUAUGAUAUAUACUAUACAGGUGAGUUUUGUAGGGUUAAUAGAUGGUUUACAUUCAA